rnacentral:rRNA from 1 species
UACGGAGGGUGUGAGCGUUGUCCGGAAUCAUUGGGCGUAAAGGGCGCGUAGGUGGCGGGACAAGCGUGCGGUGAAAGCUCGGGGCUCAACCCCGAGUCGGCCGUGCGAACUGUUUUGCUGGAGCACUGUAGAGGCAGGCGGAAUUCCGGGUGUAGCGGUGGAAUGCGUAGAGAUCCGGAAGAACACCGGUGGCGAAGGCGGCCUGCUGGGCAGUUGCUGACACUGAGGCGCGACAGCGUGGGGAGCAAACAGG